rnacentral:lncRNA from 1 species
CUCAUUUCAUUAUUAUUUACAACAUUCUUAAGCAUUCAAACUUAGAAAUGUUUAAUAAUGUCUUCUCUAGCGUCAGUUAAUUAUUUGAGACAUAACGUAACCAUUUCACAGUGUUAACUGCUACUGUAGUAAGUACUGUUAUUUGUGACCCUUAUUGUAAAGUGUUACUAAAGAUUUAUUUUAAUUUUAAGAUUUUCUUUAAAUUUCACUGAACAGAAGAAUCACCCUCAAAAGGCACCAGCUGAAGUCACAGGGGAAGAAGAAAAGAAGGAUCUGACGCUUUAUGUUGGUGUGAUGGAAGGACGUGGGAAAGAGAAUAUAAAACCAGGAGAAACACCAACCAAGAUGAGCAUAGAUAAAAAUUUGAUAGACAAGGAAGAUGUAGCAACAUUACGGGAUCCUAAACAGUCGAAGAGCAAGAAGACUCUUCAGGAAUUAACAAAGGACCUGAGGGAAUCCUGGACUACCAAACUUGCUUCUUUUAGUCCUUCUCCUGUUUCCAUUGAGAAUAUGAGAUGUAAGAAAUUAUCUGCUUUAUACACAUCUAGCUUUAUUAAGUUCUUACACACUGACAUGCCAAUAGUCAUGGGAGAGCAGUAAGUAAAUAAAUCAUGAUGUGUCACCUUGGGGUGGCUUGGGAAUGCCCACUCCUGUAUUAGUUUUGGAAUGUGUCUUAAGGAAUACAUCAUAGAAGUCAUUUUUUCUUGUGAACAGACCAAUAAUUGGAAGAAAUUACAUUCAUAUCCAUAUUCAGGAGACUCCGCACACAUAUAUACUUUAAGCCUUAUUGACAUAUGAUAAUACAUGCCAGUGUAUUACAUCCUUUGUUUUUGACGCUCAGACUUUGUGCGUUUUUCUCUUUAGCUGCAGAGAAGAGUGCAACAUUAAGCAGAUCUCCUAUUACACCCCUCCGGCUUCCAGCAGUCUCUCCUGUGGGUGCUGUCUCCCCACCAUUGGAACCACCUGAACACCUCAAAGGGAUCCAGGCUUCGUCCUUCUACAAGACUUCAAGAAGACAAAGCAAUGCCCAACUUCCCUGUUCUCCUUCUAUGACGCCCGUUUCUAAGAAGCACAGUGCUGUAGAGGGUCCUGAGCUGAGUCCAGCGCCCUCUAUGGCCCCACCUCUCAUAGCUUCUACAGGGAGAGAGACUCUUGCCCAUUCCUCAGAGCUCAGUUCUCCCGAUUUGGAAGAAGAUCUGAGAGGCUUCUUGAACAGUUUCAGUUGCAGAAGCCUGCAGGAAUCCUUUGACAAAGAGUCUGUAGUCUCCUUGGUGACACUGAGUCAGUCUUCACCCAGAUCCGGGAACAACGUAGCUAUGAUCUGCACAAACCUGGAGGUA